rnacentral:lncRNA from 1 species
UUUCUGCACAGAGAUUUUUCUUGGUCAAGAGUGCAACAUGAGCUGUUGAUAUGAACUUUACUGUCAGAUGAACUUUGGAAGUGACAAGAUUUCUUCACAGAGAAUGAAUGAAGUUGAAGAAGUUGAAAGGCACCCCUGAAGAACUUGAAUUAUUUUAGCCCUAUCCUAGAUUCAUUAAUUAAUAUAUUUUAGUGUGUGAUAUAUUUUAGUGUUUUCAGUUUUCAAAA